GACGAACGCUGGCGGCGUGCCUAAUACAUGCAAGUCGAACGAGAGCGACCGGUGCUUGCACUGGUCAAUCUAGUGGCGAACGGGUGAGUAACACGUGGGUAACCUGCCCAUCAGAGGGGGAUAACAUCCGGAAACGGAUGCUAAAACCGCAUAGGUCUUCGAGCCGCAUGGCUUGAAGAGGAAAAGAGGCGCAAGCUUCUGCUGAUGGAUGGACCCGCGGUGCAUUAGCUAGUUGGCGAGGUAACGGCUCACCAAGGCCGUGAUGCAUAGCCGACCUGAGAGGGUGAUCGGCCACAUUGGGACUGAGACACGGCCCAAACUCCGACGGGAGGCAGCAGUAGGGAAUCUUACGCAAUGGAGGAAAGGCGGACGGAGCAACGCCGCGGGAGCGAAGAAGGUUCUCGGCCCGUAAAACUAUGUUGUUAGUGAAGAACAAGUGCUAGAGUAACUGUUAGCGCCUUGACGGUAUCUAACUAGAAAGCCACGGCUAACUACGUG
rnacentral:rRNA from 1 species